CCUACAAAAAUAGUUGGUUUGUUGUUUUGGUUAUACGACAAAAGAAUAUAUGUAUAUAUAUAUUUGUAUAGUUGUAGAUAUAUAUAUAUAUAGAAAAUAUAUAGAUUGAUUGGAAGAAUUUCAAAGAGAUUUGCCAACGAAAUCAAGAAGAACAUGCAAGAAAGAAUUCUACAACAUGCAUGUAUAGAUAGUAAUGUAAUGUAAUUAACUCUCUCCGCUACGAUGGUGACUGUACUUUGAUUGCUAACGCGCAAUGGAAACGGAACGAAACGAAACGAUACGGAAUGGAAUGAAACAAGCAAUUAAACAACAGAAAAAAAAUUCGUGUAUUUUACUCGAAAUCAAAACGUUGCUUCUUUUUAAUGUAAUCGAAUGCAGUUUGCAACAAAUUGUAAAUGUAAAUGUUGUAAAAAAUUAUUAAAUUAAUUAGAUAAAUGUUAUUAAUUAUGUUACGAUUACUUAGAGCUAAAAAUGAGAAUUGCAAAUUGUUUGAAUUA